rnacentral:rRNA from 1 species
CCUACGGGAGGCAGCAGUGAGGAAUAUUGGUCAAUGGACGCAAGUCUGAACCAGCCAAGCCGCGUGCAGGAAGACGGUCCUAUGGGUUGUAAACUGCUUUUAUGCGGGGACAAACGCAGAUACGCGUGGCCGUCUGCAGGUACCGUACGAAUAAGGAUCGGCUAACUCCGUGCCAGCAGCCGCGGUAAUACGGAAGAUGCGGGCGUUAUCCGGAUUUAUUGGGUUUAAAGGGUGCGCAGGCGGGCCGUUAAGUUAGUGGUGAAAUCCCGGGGCUCAACCCCGGCACUGCCGCGGAAACUGGUGGGCUAGAGUGGGGCAGAGGUAGGCGGAAUGUGUGGUGUAGCGGUGAAAUGCUUAGAGAUCGCGCAGAACACCGAUUGCGAAGGCAGCCUACCG